CUCUACCAGCCCGCCCGCCAGCCACGGAUCGCUACACGGACCUGCCAGAGGCCAAGCACGGCACUCGAUGCUGGGGAGAUAGGCAAACGGGUGGCUAGAGCCAGAGGGGCCUGCUCACUGCAGGAUGAGGGAGUUGUCGGGCAGGCUCUGGCCGGUGCUGAGGAUUCCAGGGCACGUCCAGUGCACGCAGCCCCAGGGAGAUGGAGACAGACGCAUGGACAGAAAAGGAGGGACAGAGGGAGCUUGCCCACGGGAGCCCUGAUGGGGGUGGGUUGGCCUCACUCAGCCAGGGGACAAACCAGAACCAAUAAUGUUGUCCUUCUGAGGCCUGAAACAAGGCGAACUGAGCCCAUCAGUCUGUUAACAACUGGAGGUAAAUCCUGGAGGGGGGAGCACUUUGUAAUUUCAGAUACUAAAAAUGAACGGUAUUAUGGAGUAACGGUUAACAUACGCUGCAAGAUGUUUACGAUUCCCUGGGGCCAAAUAAGUAAACAUUCUUCCAACUUGAGCUGCAGGAGAUAGGCAAUUUCACAAAGAGAUGCUUCUUCCAUUUAUAUGAGAUGACUGUGUGCAAGAGAGGAACCUGGGUGCUGUGCGCAGGAUGUGAAGUUUCCGC
rnacentral:lncRNA from 12 species